CAGCUGAGUCAGUCAGACUCAGUGGAGUUAGUGCUACCAGAAACUCGUUCAGUCGAGUUUCCGGUGAUUCGAAUGAUGAACGAGACGAACGUGAGAAACGAACCGGUUCGGUUUGUUCGUCCUUCGUCGUUCUGUUCGUUCAUUCGAACCGGUUCGCGAACGACCGAGCCAACACUAGAGAACACAUGUAGCGAUAGGCUAGGGAGCUAGACCUACAGUGCUUUGCUACGUGCUUACCUUCAAUAUAAUUACACUUGAACGUAUGUCGGUCUCCUGUGCUUAUUACUACUUGCAACAUAACAAAUUGGCGACGAAGAACUUACUCACGUUACUUUUGCACUACCGAUUUUUUUUGCUACAUUUUAAUGUUUCAAUAUGACUGCUACAGCACCUUUCCCGGAUUUGUUUCUGACUGCGCCGGGGGAGCCCGCCGUUCCAUUCAAGAUUUGGGAACAAAUGUUGAAGAACUACUGCUUGGUCAUCGACGUGGAUGGACUAAACUGGACUGAGGCAAGACAACGUGCCCUUUUGCUUCACUGCUUAUAUUAGGAACAGAGAGACAAAGAAUAUUUGACACAUUGCCGGAGACUGGUGCUACAUUGGCCACUGCGAUAGCUGCCCUGCAUGGCUACUUCACACCAAAGGGGUGCUACAUAUUCAACAUUCUCAAUAGCCUCAACCUCUCCAUCCAGGGGCGCUAUGCAUCCAUCCUUGACGUUAGCGACAAAAUAACUGCUUUUAUGAGGAAAACUGAGCUAUGGAGAAGAAGACUCCAAGAUGGAGUGACCGACAUGUUCCCGCAACUCACGGAUUAUCUUCACGCAAACAACCAGUCAGUUGCUGCAGUGAAAGAGGUAGCCACCUCUCACCUCACUGCACUCAGCAAGCACUUCAAAUCGUACUUACGUGAAUACUGAUGCUUGGGACUGGGUGCGAGAUCCCUUUGCGCCAGGAGUAACAUGUAGCGGCCUCCCUAGCAAAGCAGAGGAUGAGUUGGUGGACUUAUCUUGUGAUCGGACUCUGAAGGCCCGAUUCCAGCAGUGAGAGGGGGAAUCCAGGAAGGAUUGGGAGGAGAAAGGAGCCGAUCGCCACCAGAGAUCGCGCCAAGCAGAAUUUGAUUUACGUUCUGUCUAAUUGCCUUUGAUUUAUACGUUUAUGGAAAGCAAUAAAAGAACUUCCUUGGGGAAAAAGCAAAACCUGUGUCCAGCGCUCCAUUGACCCGUUACAGUGGAGCCCAAUGUGGGGCGAGCGUACAAAAAUGGACCAUUCCCCAUUGGGAAACGUGCUCGGGCACCUAGCCCAGAUGGCGGAGAGAAAAGGCCAGCUCCACCAGGCGCAGAACGAGGCACUCACGGACCUGGCACAAUCCUUGGCCGCCGAUCGGGCCAUGCUCCGGGAGCUCCUCGCCUCCGGCGGACGCGGCGAAGGACCCCGGGGGGCGGGACCCGCGACGAACAUACACGUCCCAAAGAUGGCAGGGUGUCCGCGGAGGACUUUUCGGGAAGGAGAUGUACGAGGGGCUACUUUCUUGCUAGCUGCAUAUAUAAACGGAUGUCUGCGCGCUUGCUAGCUAGUCUGCAACAAUGGGUAAAUGCAAGUUCAACGUCAGUUGGCUGGAAGACGUCCGUUUCCGAGGUUGGCUAGCGUCCGUUGCCAACCCAGAACAGGCCAGAUGCAUUCCGUGCAAAAGUAGCCUACAUUCAAGCUCGGCACCAGGGGAAUUAGGGCUGUCGACAACCAUAUGCAGAGCCAAAAACAUAAAACCUCUGCCAGGAGCCACACACAGACCCCAGCC
ensembl:lncRNA